rnacentral:rRNA from 1 species
AGUGAACGCUGGCGGUAUGCCUAACACAUGCAAGUCGAACGGCAGCACAGUAAGAGCUUGCUCUUACGGUUGGCGAGUGGCGGACGGGUGAGGAAUACAUCGGAAUCUACUUUUUCGUGGGUGAUAACGUAGGGAAACUUACGCUAAUACCUCAUACGUCCUACGGGUGAAAGCAGUGGAUCUUCGCACCUUGCGCGUUUGAAUGAGCUGAUUUCGGAUUAGCUAGUUGGCUGGGUAAAGGCCCACCAAGGCGACGAUCCGUAGCUGGCCUGAGAGGAUGAUCAGCCACACUGGAACUGAGACACGGUCCAGACUCCUACGGGAGGCAGCAGUGGGGAAUAUUGGGCAAUGGGCGCAAGCCUGAUCCAGCCAUACCGCGUGGGUGAAGAAGGCCUUCGGGUUGUAAAGCCCUUUUGUUAGGAAAGAAAAGCAGCAGGUGAAUACCCCGCUGUUCUGACGGUACCCAAAGAAUAAGCACCGGCUAACUUCGUG